rnacentral:lncRNA from 1 species
GGGGCCUCCAGUUGCCCAUCCCUGCUAUUGAGUAACAUUUACCUAAUUUGAACCAUAGUAUAUUACAAUACUGUAAAUAUAAUAUUUCAAAGCAAUGCAAUGUUUCCUGUGGCUACCCCACUCAACAGAGAAAGUUGACCCCUGGCCUAGCAUGACAGAAGAGAUGUAAAAUUAGUGAACGUUUGUGGGAGACCUGCUAACCUUUCUGCUGAAUCAAAAGGCCAUACAUAGUCCUCCCUUAUCACAACCAUAGAACCUAACAAUCCUGUUGCUUCUUAAUGUUGGUACUGUAUUUCUGUUAAACAGGACCAUUCAAAAAAGUAGGGGAUAUCUUACCAAACACAUAACGUAAUAGAAGGGAUGCAACAAAAUAAGUUUGGAAUUGAUUGUAUACACGUUUUUCUUUCUCUUACGCACAAAGUUGGCCUAUUGAUGCCAUCUUGUGGACACUGAAAAGCAGAUGUUGAGAUAUUAUGUACAUAGUACAGGAAACAAGUCAAUCAUUUUCACAUGUGUUGGAACCAUAUUCAACAAAGAAACGACACAAUUAGAUCACCAAUGUUCCGCGCUUUUCUAUUGCUGUUACUGGCAGGUCCUGCACACACUAGUGUGAAGGUAAACCAGUGGACGUCUGAAACUCGCUACACAUUGGGAGACACAGCCAUUUUGCAUUGCAACAUAACCUCCGAUCAGGAGGUGAUAGAGAACUGUGAAAUGCAUUGGGUAAUCAUGGAUAUCAACAACAAAAACCGAACAAUAGAUGUCCUGAAGACAGAGUUGUAUAAGCAACGUGUAAACAUUGAGUCAAUUGAAAGCACCACUUCCAUGACAUUAAGAAACCUGACCUUACAUGACAGAGAUAUGCCAAACUGUACAGCAGAGUGCUACUUUGAUGGACAAUAUAAAAGAUAUUUUGGGAUGGGUUCUGUUCAGAUUUUCGAAGAGAUGGAAGUAAAGGAAGUCACCCAGGACAAGACAACUGUGGCUCCAAGUGAACUUUAAGAGGAGCCAUUUUACCCCUGGAUCAAAUAUCUACUGUUCUCUAGUAAUCUUCUAAUCUUUCUUGUAGCAACAGCUAUUUAUGUGUUUUACAUGCGAAAACAAAUGCAAAGGAAUUAAAGAACGAAUUGGCCGUGUUACUGCUGUAUGCAUCUCUCGUCCAGCACCAGAUCAAAUGCCACCUUUAUGAGAAUGUAUCAAAUUGAUAUAACAUGGCUUUGGCUAGUGUAAGUGUCCAGUGCUGGUGAUCGCGUGCCCGUUGGAGCCGCUUCUUCUUGUUUUCAGCGGAUAGGAGUGGAACCCAGUGUGGUCGCCUGCUGACAAGGACCGAUGAGUUGUGCAUUCCGAUACGCCAUUCUCUGUAAACCAUAACACAUGGAUGGGCAACUUUGAUUCUUGUGGGGGCCACAAAAGAUCUAAACUGAUCACGAGGGGCUGCCGUUGCUCUCAGGUCUCAUACCCACAUCCAUAGCUGUUUUACAGCGAAUUUCCUGCUAUUCUACACAUUUUGCCAUAGGGUGUAGAGAAAUGUUGGCCGUUUUAAUAUGAUAUCUUAGUGAGACUGACAAACAAAAAAAACUAUGGGGGACAUCUCGGCCGAUAAUUCGACCAUGAUUACAAGUUUAGAUAGCUGUCCGAUAAACUAAUUUGGCAAUCUAAAAAAUGUUAGCUGACAUGGGAUAAUUGACUGACUAUCUGUGUCUGACAUAAACAAGAGAAACCUUUCUGAAACACAACCACAUUUCGAAAUUGCACCCUGUGUAUUCUACUAUUCUAACCCAUAACAGUAAAUGUAGACCCCGUCUGAGUUCCUAAUUGAUUCGAGUUCCUUUAAAAGGAGACGCGGGACGCAAGUUGCCCAAUUUUACCCUAGACAAUGUCGUGCGUGAAAAGUCUCCGAGGCCGACCGUUUCAAAUAAACUGGCCACUGAGUGUAUAUGAUAUGAAUAGUGAUAAGACGAGCUAAUGAAAUAGGCUGCCAAUGCAACGUUAGCCUAGUCUACUACAGGCUGCACAGUUUUUGUAGUUCACGUGUCGCCUUGCAAAACCGGUCACAUACAAUAUUGUGGCUUCAAGGUAAUCAAAAUCGAAAGCAAAAUGUUUCUUUCGUUUUUAUUUUAUUUUCAACUUUACAUUGUUCAUUAUAUAGCUACCGUAGGCUACUAUGCUAUUGAUUAAUACACAAUUUAUCAUACUUAAAUUGACUGUUCACUUAAAAUCCCAGACUAUAUUCAAAUGAAAGCUUUAACAGCCUCUGCUGUUUUUCGAAUCCCAGACUGUAGCUUUAACAUGAAAUUAUCAAUAUUACAGAAGGACAUGGGAUCUUUUUUUAUUUGUAUUAUUAGCUGGUUAUAUUAGGCUUACUACAGUAUGCCACAAAACCUAUAUAUAUAGGCUACUAUCCUGGCCUAGGCUAUGCUACUGUAAGGCUGACGCUUCACAUUUCUGCCUCGAAAAAACUGUCAAAUAUAAUGUGGAAUUGUGGAUCAAAAUCGAAAGUGAAAUGUUAUUCUUGUUUUUACUUUAUCUUUUCAACUUUACAAUGUUCAUUAUAUAGCUACUGUAGGCCUACUGUGCUAUUGAUUAAUAAACUAUCAUAAUCAAGUUUACUAUUCACUUUAAUCCUGGUUAAAUCUGAGGUGCAAAACAUCAGUUCCUACCGUGGUGCUGGUACAGUACUGGAGUGCAGCAGACUGGCAUUCAAAUCACUGUACAGAUAUAGCCUUCACGGACAGGUAAUACAGGUCAGUGACUAGCGUGACGAUUAGUGUAACCUAGGCUACGGAAAUAAUAAUAAUACAUUUACAUUUACAUGUAAGUCAUUUAGCAGACGCUCUUAUCCAGAGCGACUUACAAAUUGGUGCAUUCACCUUAUGAUAUCCAGUGGAACAACCACUUUACAAUAGUGC